AGUGAACGCUGGCGGCAGGCUUAACACAUGCAAGUCGAGCGAGCGGCGGACGGGUGAGUACUGUCUGGGAAACUGCCUGAUGGAGGGGGAUAACUACUGGAAACGGUAGCUAAUACCGCAUACCAUCAGAUGUGCCCAGAUGGUCUUAGCUAGUAGGUGGGGUAAUGGCUCACCUAGGCGACGCUCCCUAGCUGGUCUGAGAGGAUGACCAGCCACACGGGAACUGAGACAAGGUCCAGACUCCUACGGGAGGCAGCAGUGGGGAAUAUUGGACAAUGGGCGGAAGCCUGAUGCAGCCAUGCCGCGUGUGUGAAGAAGGCCUUCGGGUUGUAAAGCACUUGCAGCGAGGAGGCGUUACUCGCAGAAGAAGCACCGGCUAACUCCGUGCCAGCAGCCGCGGUAAUUC
rnacentral:rRNA from 1 species